CAACAACAUAAGAUCGUAUAAGUUAAACUUGAUCAAAUACUGUUUUCAAGACCCAAGAAGGCUUUUGAAAAUCAAAAUUCGGUUAGAAUACUUUGAUCUAUGUUUGGUACCACAGAUUGCUUAUUUAUGGUAUUCCUAGAUACCUAACACUUGCCUUGUUAUGUUGGUACCUUCGUCCAACCUUAUUGUGGCAUUAGGAGAGGCGCCAAAUCUCAAAGUCCGUACCUCAAUAUGUGCUAACAGGAAAUGCUGUAUAGGCCGGCUUUAUGGGCGACAAUAAUGAUCCAUCCAGCAUAAAAUGACUUGAUGAUAAGUAAAUUGUAUCAGCUACGUUUUAGUUUGGCAAAGAAAUGCAUCCCCCCCUCCCCCUCCCCCUUCUCUCGCGUAAGUUGUACUGUACUCACGAGUAGUUCAGCUAGGAACAAUCUGCAAGGGAACUUGAGGGUGUUUUUCCGGCGAUUUUACCAUAUAACAGAUUAUCGAAAUGAGGAUCCAGCAUAUCAUUCACUACAAGACCCGAGAUGCAGAUGCUGAUUAAAGCAAUGAUACUCCUAUAACAGUCAAAUAUACUAUACAAGUCUGAUAAGAGAACAAUAGAACAAGGGUUGUCACAAGACUACUACAACUAUGAAGUACAGAGUCAUUUGUAUUCGAUUUGUACAAAAUAUUGUUCAGUUUGUUUCUUCC